rnacentral:rRNA from 1 species
GACGAACGCUGGCGGCGUGCUUAACACAUGCAAGUCGAACGGAAAGGCCCUGCUUUUGUGGGGUGCUCGAGUGGCGAACGGGUGAGUAACACGUGAGUAACCUGCCCUUGACUUUGGGAUAACUUCAGGAAACUGGGGCUAAUACCGGAUAGGAGCUCCUGCUGCAUGGUGGGGGUUGGAAAGUUUCGGCGGUUGGGGAUGGACUCGCGGCUUAUCCGCUUGUUGGUGGGGUAGUGGCUUACCAAGGCUUUGACGGGUAGCCGGCCUGAGAGGGUGACCGGCCACAAUGGGACUGAGAUACGGCCCAGACGCCUACGGGAGGCAGCAGGGGGGAGUAUUGCACAAUGGGCGGAAGCCUGAUGCAGCAACGCCGCGUGCGGGAUGACGGCCUUCGGGUUGUAAACCGCUUUCGCCGGUGACGAAGCGGGAGUGACGGUAAUGGGUAAAGAAGCACCGGCUAACUACGUG